rnacentral:rRNA from 1 species
AUUGAACGCUGGCGGAAUGCUUUACACAUGCAAGUCGAACGGCAGCACGGGGGCAACCCUGGUGGCGAGUGGCGAACGGGUGAGUAAUACAUCGGAACGUGCCCGGUCGUGGGGGAUAACGUAGCGAAAGUUACGCUAAUACCGCAUACGAUCUGAGGAUGAAAGCGGGGGACCUUCGGGCCUCGCGCGAUCGGAGCGGCCGAUGUCAGAUUAGUUAGUUGGUGGGGUAAAGGCCUACCAAGCCGACGAUCUGUAGCUGGUCUGAGAGGACGACCAGCCACACUGGGACUGAGACACGGCCCAGACUCCUACGGGAGGCAGCAGUGGGGAAUUUUGGACAAAGGGCGAAAGCCUGAUCCAGCCAUUCCGCGUGCAGGACGAAGGCCUUCGGGUUGUAAACUGCUUUUGUAUGGAACGAAAAGGCUCUGGCUAAUACCUGGGGCUCAUGACGGUACCGUAAGAAUAAGCACCGGCUAACUACGUG